CAUGUCAGUACUGGUGAGUCUGGGUGCUGAUGAUCUGUCCUACAUUGUACCAUCAGCUCCAAGGCUGAUCAGUACCGAUGUG
rnacentral:pre_miRNA from 1 species